AAACCAGCACCUCAAGUGGUCAGGAGGUUUAUUGGGCCUAAAGCAUCCGUAGCCUGCUGUGCAAGUCUUCGGUUAAAUCCAUCUGCUCAACAGAUGGGCUGCCGGCGAUACUACACGGCUAGGGAGUGGGAGAGGUCGAUGGUACUCGGUGGGAAGGGGUAAAAUCCUUUGAUCCAUCGAUGACCACCUGUGGCGAAGGCGGUCGACCAGAACACGUCCGACGGUGAGGGAUGAAAGCUGGGGGAGCAAACCGGAUUAGAAACCCGGGUAGUCC
rnacentral:rRNA from 1 species